CACGCGGCAUGGGUGCAGCGGGCACAACCGCACAAACCCUACCCCCAAUCCACAGCUGCCACUCCCUCCCUCCUCCUCCUCCCUCCCUCGUCUGCCGCCACCACUCCCUACCUCCUCGUCGCCCCUGCCUCCGCCCUAGGAGCUUCGCCGCCUCCCGCGCGCUCGUACUCUCCCUCGUCUCCUCUUCUCCGUGCUUCCGCCGCAGCCUCCGCUUCCCUCCUCCCUCUCGUCGGCCUCAUCUCCUCCACCUCCACCACCUCCAUCUCCCUACCUCCGCACCUGGCUAGCACGGUCAGACCAUGCUAAGUGGACGAGAAGGCGUCAUCUCGAGAGGCAUGCCACACCUUCCAUGACGGCGCCCCGAUCUGCCGGAUCUUCCUCCUCAUCAGUCCAACGUAGAGGAUUGGCAGAUCCGCCUCCUCUUUGGUGUCAUCAACCAGAGAAGGUGUUUUUUCUUCUAGGCCGAUGGAUGGGGUAGGCGAAGAGGAGUGGCGGAUCUGCGUCCUCUUCGGCAUGCAGUUGUGCUCUCCAUUGUUGUGAGCUCGCCGCCUGUUGAGUUUGCUGCCGUUCUUGCACCGGUGCUGCUGCCGUGGAGGGCUUGGUUUAAUCUUGUCUACGGUGGGAUGGGGAUUCAGAGGAUAAAUUUUAUUGGCAGUAAGAAGUUAAGAGAUCAAGCGUGAGACAUCAAAUGUCAAGGGAGAUUUUAGUUUUUUCGUGUCUGUGUGUGCAGCUUGUCUACGGUGGGAUGGGGAUUCAAAGGAUAAAUUUUAUUGGCAGUAUGAGGUUAAGAGGUUGAGCGUGAGACGUCACAUGUCAAGGGGAUUUAGUAUUUAGUCUCUUCUAACCUGUGAAGAGAGACUACUGGUUUAAAGGGAAUCCAUACUUAAACAAGGUUUCUUCCAAUUCAACAAAGUCAGCUAUGGAGCUUUUCGAGGCAGCGGGACAUGAUGCCGCACGGAGAUGGGGAUGGCCAUGCCCACCCCGAUGCUGCCGGCCGAUGUCGGUGAGAGCAUCACCGCCGACAAUGGCUCCAACGAGCUCUCCAUGAGCUCCUGGGACGACACCAACUCCAACAUCAUGUUCUUCGUGCCUGGAAGCAAGAAGGCCAAGGUGUUCAUCGAUGGUGACAACGGCAUGGUCACCAAAUUCAGCAAAAUCAAAUCCCAAUUUGGCCUGUCGAGCAUGUCUUUGGACAUGCCCGGCAUGGACGGCUACUUGCAACCGCAGCAGGACUUCGUCGCCUGCAUAGUCUUGAGACAAGCGUGUCUGCGCCACUCACCCGUGAAGCAUCGCUAAGAGGCAAAGAAGAACAAGGAUUAGCAAGAGGCUAAGGAGGCUGCAAGACCUCGUACCCAACAUGGACAAGACAUUCCCAGUGGACUGUUGCUAUUAGUGAACCACCCUAUUGUCUACGGGUGCUUGAGACUAACAUUCUAACUUGCAAUCCUUAGCGGUAGGAAACUUAAUAGGGUUGUGUGCUGGACGUUUUGGCUGCUAUAGGGGUUAUUCAGUCUCGCCAUUUCUGGCUGGACGUCGAGCGCAUACAGGAUGCAAUCCAGAAUGUCUUGAUUAUCGUAGAAAGGGUUUAUCUUCUUGGUCCUCUAGCAAUAUGUGUACCAUGUCGCUCCGUACAGUGGCGCUGAUAAGGCAAAAUCCGGGAAGAAAGAAUGAUUCAGGGCUUCGUGCCAAGCAACAUCUGCAGUACACCAAUUAAUUCUCGAUACAUUUCGCGUAUUCAGCUUUUUCAUUAACUAUACAAAGUGCUCAUCUUGCUUCAGAUUCAAGUGAUCAGAUCUUGAUGAGAAGCAUGGCCGAAUGCACCUCCAACCACUAGAUUUCUGUGCCAAAAGUUCGAUUGAUGUAAUUUUCGAUGCAUCUAAGGUUUAUGUGAUUGGCGGGGAUGGAACAAUGAGAGGAGCAGUGGCGAUAUUCCAAGAGUUUAAACGGUGUGGUUUGAGGAUAUCCAUUACAUGGAUCCCCAAAAACUUGGACAACGACAUCGACAUUAUAGACAAGGCGUUUGGGUUUCAAACUGCAGUGGAGAGUGCUCGGUAGGCAAUCGAUGCGACACAUGUGAGGUUGUGAAUAUUGUGGAUGGCAUUGGUCUUGUCAAACUUAUGGGAAGGAGCACGGGCCACAUUACUCUUCAUGCCACCCUGAGCAGCCUGAGAUGUUGACUGUUUCAAUCCUGAGAUCGAUUUCCAUGUUGAAGGGAGGGGGCAUGCUAUUGUUGUUGUUGCUCAAGGCGCUGGUCAGGAGUUGAUUCCCCGGAUUGAUGACCAGAAGCGAGAGCAGGAUGAGUAUGGCAACAUGUUGUUCCUUAGCGUUGGCCUUCUUCUAUAAAGUUUACAUACAAUUCACCUGCAUGGUUAAAAAAGCUACUAUACUAAUGUAAAUGUUCUGUUUCUUUGAAGAUUACUCAUUUCUCUUACU